GACGAACGCUGGCGGCGUGCUUAACACAUGCAAGUCGAACGGAAAGGCCCUGCUUUUGUGGGGUGCUCGAGUGGCGAACGGGUGAGUAACACGUGAGUAACCUGCCCUUGACUUUGGGAUAACUUCAGGAAACUGGGGCUAAUACCGGAUAGGAGCUCCUGCUGCAUGGUGGGGGUUGGAAAGUUUCGGCGGUUGGGGAUGGACUCGCGGCUUAUCAGCUUGUUGGUGGGGUAGCGGCUUACCAAGGCUUUGACGGGUAGCCGGCCUGGGAGGGUGACCGGCCACAUUGGGACUGAGAUACGGCCCAGACUCCUACGGGAGGCAGCAGUGGGGAAUAUUGCACAAUGGGCGGAAGCCUGAUGCAGCAACGCCGCGUGCGGGAUGACGGCCUUCGGGUUGUAAACCGCUUUCGCCUGUGACGAAGCGUGAGUGACGGUAAUGGGUAAAGAAGCACCGGCUAACUACGUG
rnacentral:rRNA from 1 species